UUAUUAUGGGAUGUUUUUGUUUUUGCUGUUUGUUGAUCCAUGGUUCAGACUAAACUGUGACAGUUCUGACCUUGUUAGGACAAUUCCAAACAGGUCUUUAGUACAGCUACUGACAACACAAACUGUACAAAAAACAUAGGUAAUUUGUGGUUUUACUGUGGCUGUUAUCUGUCUAUAAACAGAGAUAAGCUAACAGAGCUA